AUGGAUGGAGUAUUAUCUUUGCAUGAAAUUCUGCAUCAUACUUACAUCAAGAAGAAGGUGGGUAUUGUCAUUAAGCUUGAUUUCGAGAAAGCAUAUGACAAAGUGAACUGGGACUUUCUUUUGGAAUGUCUCGAGAUGAGAGGGUUUGGUCCCACAUGGUGUGGAUGGAUUAAAAGUGUCUUGGUUGAUGGCACAGUUAGUGUGAAGUUGAACAAUGUUAUGGGGCCAUAUUUCAAGAGCUUUAAAGGGGUUAGACAGGGGGAUCCUGUGUCACCCUUCCUUUUUAACAUUGCUGCUGAGUGCCUGUGUAAAAUGGUGAAGGAAAUAUGCCCUAGAGGAGAAUGA
rnacentral:rRNA from 1 species